UAGCCCUGGCAGCUGAAGCCAUUUUUGGAAACAUACGAAGAAGAAAAUCGAAACUGACAGUGACAGUCACCUUUGAGCUGUCAAUGGUGUUAAACAAACCCUUGGAAAAUGGACACCCCAAUUGUAGCUCUAGCCCCUGACGAUGUUUUGGAAGUUAUAUUUUCCUAUCUUUCCCUGCGUGACCUUAGGAACUGUUCUCUAGUGUGUAAAAGGUGGUACAGUUUUUUGAAUUACGAAAAUAACGACGUGUGGAGGUUACACUGUAAAAGAAAACUUGCUGAGGAAGCACUGAAAUCCGAUAUACUCAGCUCCGUGCCCACUUACAAGGCCAAACUGAGGGCUUUCUACCAUGCAUGGAAUCCCAAUGACUGUUCUAGAAAUAUUUACAUCAAACCCAACGGUUUCACUUUACAUCGAAACCCUGUGGCUCAAAGUACUGACGCUUCCAGGGGGAAGAUAGGAUUUCGUCACGGGAGGCACGCUUGGGAAGUGAUCUGGGAGGGCCCCCUGGGGACGGUAGCCGUUAUUGGAAUUGCUACGAAGGAUGCUCCUUUACAGUGUCACGGUUAUGUGGCACUACUUGGGUCGGAUGAUCAAAGUUGGGGUUGGAACUUGGUGGACAACCAUUUGUUGCAUAACGGAGAUGCACAAGGAAAUUAUCCCAUGCUUAAUAAUGUCCCUAAGUACCAGGUUGGAGAAAGAAUAAGGGUAAUAUUAGAUUGUGACGACAAUACACUUUCUUUCGAGAAAAACUACGAGUUUCUAGGUGUAGCAUUUCGAGGUUUACCAUCCAAGAAGCUUUAUCCAACAGCAUCUGCCGUGUAUGGCAACACGGAGGUAUCCAUGGUGUACCUUGGACCGCCUUUAGAUGGCUAACACACCACCAGGAGAAAAGACCAAAGGACUCAAAUGAAGAAAUGAUGGAGAGAGAUUUCACAGGUCUGUUCCAAAGAUAAAGAUGGUUACUUCAGACGAAUACGCUUUGGAUACAGCUAGAAAACGCCUCUAGGUUAAGAAAUUUUCAUUUUGAAAAUUUAGUCAACUAAAGGAAAAAUAAGCCGAAGAAAAAUUGCCACUAAGAAUUGGUACAAUGAGGCUGAAUUUUUAAUAUACAGAAGGGAUUU
rnacentral:misc_RNA from 1 species